rnacentral:rRNA from 1 species
AACGAACGCUGGCGGCAGGCUUAACACUUGCAAGUCGAGCGCCCCGCAAGGGGAGCGGCAGACGGGUGAGUAACGCGUGGGAAUCUACCCAUCUCUACGGAAUAACGCAUGGAAACGUGUGCUAAUACCGUAUACGUCCUUCGGGAGAAAGAUUUAUCGGAGAUGGAUGAGCCCGCCUUGGAUUAGCUAGUUGGUGGGGUAAAGGCCUACCAAGGCGACGAUCCAUAGCUGGUCUGAGAGGAUGAUCAGCCACACUGGGACUGAGACACGGCCCAGACUCCUACGGGAGGCAGCAGUGGGGAAUAUUGGACAAUGGGCGCAAGCCUGAUCCAGCCAUGCCGCGUGAGUGAUGAAGGCCCUAGGGUUGUAAAGCUCUUUCACCGGUGAAGAUAAUUACGGUAACCGGAGAAGAAGCCCCGGCUAACUUCGUGCCAGCCGCCGCAGUAAAAC